rnacentral:rRNA from 1 species
GUUAGGAAUAUUGGACAAUGGACGCAAGUCUGAUCCAGCCAUGCCGCGUGAGUGAUGAAGGCCUUCGGGUUGUAAAGCUCUUUAGCCGAUGAUUAUAAUGACUGUAGUCGGAAAAUAAGCCCCGGCUAACUUCGUGCCAGCAGCCGCGGUAAUACGAAGGGGGCGAGCGUUAUUCGGAAUCACUGGGCGUAAAGCGUGCGUAGGCGGUUUUGUAAGUUGGGAGUGAAAGCCCAGGGCUCAACCCUGGAAUUGCUCUCAAAACUACAAGACUUGAAUUCGGGAGAGGAUAGCGGAAUUGUCAGUGUAGCAGUGAAAUGCGUAGAUAUUGACAGGAACACCAGUGGCGUAAGCGGCUAUCUGGACCGACAUUGACGCUGAGGCACGAAAGCGUGGGGAUCAAACAGGAUUAGAAACCCGUGUAGUCC